GCAACGUCCCGUUAGGAUUCUGUUACGCCGAAAUCUCGUGGCGAAUCGAAUGAUCUGGUCAGAAUCAAAUUUUCUCUCGAACGUUGCAGGCGUUUAUUGAAGUCACAUUUUGUUGGUACAGUCCGCUUAUUCUCAGCGACAUAAGUACACCAAAUCAAGAGAAUUAUCUAUGUGCCAAGAAGAAAAGAAACCAAACAUCUAAGCCGACGGUUAGUCUGGCCGACUCUUUUGAUUCUGCCUAAGCGGAAAGCUUUACUGUCAAGAAAAGUUCCCGGCCAGCCGGCAAGCCAGCUUCGCGCUGCUAACGCGCUGCACUGCCACUGCUGACGCCUGGACGCCAUGCGUUCGGUGGUGAAGGGUAACGGUUACCACUAGCCGAUGUUGCAUAACUUGCGAAGCACGAGGUUAGACCCCAUUGCUUGGUGCAAAGCCAGCCCAAGUACAGUACAGAUGAUACCGCUCACCAGCACUUGUUUUUUUGGGAGAUUUAAAUCAAGCGAAAUAUCAUAGCCCUUUAAAUCCUGAGGACGGUGGCACUUACAUAACAACCACGUGCGAGUCAUCACUGCCUACUGCAGAUCGGUCCGAGUUCAGGUUCAGCCUAGCGCGCCCCUCGGUGGCGCUUUCAACACAUUCACGUGCGAUUUAUAGCCUACAGCGAGUUUCUUUCUAAAUCGGCACCUUUCACCCUUGGUCGGUCUGGACCCAAUGAGUCAGGAUAAGUUCUAAAAAACUUAUGAUAAAAAACUUAGGUAUGAUAACCACCUAGCUUAAUAUUUACAAACCAUCGCCUUAAGCAAACCGGCAACUAGCCGCGCUUAAUUCCCCCUUUUGGUCUAAGCCUAAAACGUCAAUGGAGACCACAUUCAGAUAAUUGAUCCGCAAACAUUAUGCUAAUCUAAGUAAAAUUAAUUCAUUUAGAAUGUAAGAUCUAUAAAAAUAAUGCUUUAGUACCCCCUGAAAUUCAGCUAGAUCAGUGGGCCCAGUCAAAAGUAGCUAGGAAGCAAAGUUAAAUUUAGAACAGCAACAAUGUGUUUCUACAGGGAUUCAACUGAAGUAUAAUGAAUUACCAUAUUCUGAAACCUCCGAUCGAAAGACUCUAUUGUAACAUGGAAGGUUAACAAAAUGUAAUCUGUCAAAAGUACAUCAUGCCACAAAUGUAUCACAACCAACCGUCGGAAAUGGAAUUCCUUUGGGGCAAUACGAAUUGACUCCAAUAUUGCCAUAGUCGGGAGGGUUUAGAGGAGAAUGUGAAAGCGACAUCUGAUUCACAUACUAAACGGCCUAUUCUACCUAACAAUCUUUGGAGACCCACCCUCUUGUUUUUUUGUGAAGUUCACCAUUAGUUUAGCCUCGAAAUGUGCACUUAUCUUAAUAUGCAAGCGUGCUAAGGGAAAGAAGAGAC